UUUUAAGUUUCGAUUUUGACGCCAUUACUGGUCUCUCGCUUACUGCGAUGAACGGCGGAGGAGCGGAUGGUUGAAGUGAUUAAUGUAUUUUUUCGAAAUAUUUGGUGUAAAAUGCCAAAAUGCAGGCUGUGUGGUGAAGUACAGAGAUCGUCAGAAGUACAUUUGUUAUGAGGGGCAGCUGACCUUCCAGUCCUUUUUGGAUUGUGUUUCCAAAAAGUUUAACAUUCUGAGCUUGGACUUAAAAAUCUUUGAUGAAUCGAAGACUGAAGUUGAUGAGGAGGUGUUUGAGUUUCUUAUAAAGAAACAAGACCUUGGUGUGCUGGAGAUUCGUUUACCUCAAGGCCCAGAUUCCAGUGAUUCGUGGAGCUUCUCUACAAACAGCUCCUUUGCAAGCUCCAGUGGAGAAAAUGAGGGAGACUGUGAUGACACCAUCAUACUGCAGCAUAGUCCUGGAACAAGGAAGAGAGCUGAGGAUAAUCAGCUAGCUCAAAUUGAAGACAUUCUGAAGAACAAACCUGGAGGAGAGAGGAUCAUAAAUGAGUACACCUGCACCAAAAGUCUAACUGAUAGCAGAAGGCAUGAUAUGGUCAAGAUAUUGGUUGCACACAUGACAAGCGAAUAUGGGACAAGUCCAUCAAGACGUGUUAGAGGACUGUGCAAAGGGCAUCACUAUCUUGUUCCCAUACUUGGCCGAUCCUAGGAGCAAGCUUGGCUAUGAACAUUAUUACAAUGCAGAAGAUGGGAGUGGUUAUCUGGCAUGGAGACUGAAGUUUGUUCCAAAGGACCUGUUAUCGGUCAAUAACAGUACUUCAAGACGUGAAAAUUUCUCUGUUGAUAUUAUGCACGAUACUCAAUUUGAGUAAAAUUUAUUCUGAUAAAUUUACUGUAUAGCAACUCAAUUGAUGCAUCUCAUACUAGAAUUAGUGUUACUGUACAGAGUGUGUGUCUGGGUACCUGUUGAUCCAUUUUCAGGAGGUUUCAGCAAUCUUCCUAUCAAAACAAAUCAAUUUGACCACUUUUACACAUAAAUUUCUUUUGUAAUGGUAUGAUAUCUUAUAGAUUAGGA